rnacentral:tRNA from 1 species
GCGCGCAUAGCUCAGCUGGUUAGAGCGUUGCAUUCACACUGCAGAGGUCCCUGGUUCGAAUCCAGGUGCGCGCACCA